GGGUACUCGAGCGGCGAACGGGUGAGUAACACGUGAGCAACCUGCCCCAGGCUUUGGGAUAACCCCGGGAAACCGGGGCUAAUACCGAAUAUGACCUCUGACCGCAUGGUUGGUGGUGGAAAGUUUUUCGGCUUGGGAUGGGCUCGCGGCCUAUCAGCUUGUUGGUGGGGUGAUGGCCUACCAAGGCGACGACGGGUAGCCGGCCUGAGAGGGCGACCGGCCACACUGGGACUGAGACACGGCCCAGACUCCUACGGGAGGCAGCAGUGGGGAAUAUUGCACAAUGGGCGGAAGCCUGAUGCAGCGACGCCGCGUGAGGGAUGACGGCCUUCGGGUUGUAAACCUCUUUCAGCAGGGACGAAGCGUAAGUGACGGUACCUGCAGAAGAAGCGCCGGCCAACUACGUGCCAGCAGCCGCGGUAAGACGUAGGGCGCGAGCGUUGUCCGGAUUUAUUGGGCGUAAAGAGCUCGUAGGCGGCUUGUCGCGUCGACCGUGAAAACUUGGGGCUCAACCCCAAGCCUGCGGUCGAUACGGGCAGGCUAGAGUUCGGUAGGGGAGACUGGAAUUCCUGGUGUAGCGGUGAAAUGCGCAGAUAUCAGGAGGAACACCGGUGGCGAAGGCGGGUCUCUGGGCCGAUACUGACGCUGAGGAGCGAAAGCGUGGGGAGCGAACAGGAUUAGAUACCCUGGUAGUCCACGCUGUAAACGUUGGGCGCUAGGUGUGGGGGGCCUCUCCGGUUCCCUGUGCCGCAGCUAACGCAUUAAGCGCCCCGCCUGGGGAGUACGGCCGCAAGCUAAAACUCAAAGGAAUUGACGGGGGCCCGCCAAGCGGCGGAACAUGCGGAUUAAUUCGAUGCACGCGAAAACCUUUACCUGGGUUUGAAUGGCCGCAAA
rnacentral:rRNA from 1 species